AAAAGUAUUCUAUACAAUUAAUAAAAAUCUACACAAAAAGCUGAGGACGACAAAAAUGCGGGAGUUUACAAAAGUGCAAAUUGUCAUCCGUCAACAAAAAUAGAAUAUCCACAACUCCAUGCCAAAAGCCAUCUACAACAAAAUAUAAAAAAUAAAAAUACACCAAUUAGUUCCAUAUAUAACAUUUGAGCAUAAUGUCACACCCCUUGUAACUGUAAUAGAACUUUAUCCUAACAUUCGUAAUUUGAUAUUGGUUUAACAAUUUACUGCCUCAUUACUUUUCCUUCAACAAGGCUAGAGUAGCUUCUGUUUUCUUCCAUUGCCAAAACAUCAUUUGCCGUUCACUGUUUGACAGGGUUGAUAAAGGUUGUCCAGCUUGAGAACUGCCAAGUCACUACAAUAUGAAUUAAUAGUCAUAUUCUAAACACAAUACAAAGUUGGGUAUCAGAUGUAUAUUUUAUUUUAAUAUUACUUUGUUUACUGGGCCAGGGAUGGAUUAUUUGAAAAAUUGGUUCUUCAUUACACUCUCUCCUUGAAACUUUUGACUGCUAAUAUUCGAGGUUUUGAAUUUCACAAAAGAUUUGGCUAAGAGAACCCUGGAAAGAGUAUAGAGACAGUGUUUGAUUUGGUGGAGAUGGAGGAUGAUGAAAGGCGAGAGCUAUUGCAAAUGUCAGAUUCACAGUUGAUGGAUAUUGCGCGGGUUUGCAACCGUUUCCCGAAUAUUGAUCUGACCUAUGAUGUGGUUGAUGGCAACAAUGUGAGGGCUGGGGAUGAUGUCAGUUGCAGGUGACCCUUGAACGGGGAUCUUGAGGGCAGGUCAGGGGUGGGACCCAUUGAUGCCCCUAGUAUCCCAAAACCAAAGGAGGAUGGUGGCUUGUGGUUGGUGAUACCAAAAGUAACCAAAAGUAAGCUUGCCAUCAAAAGAGUUUCCUUGCAGAGGAAAGCCAAGGUCAAGCUUGAUUUGCUGCCCCUGGAGAAGCAGGAAAGAAGACCUAUACCCUCUAUUUCAUGUGUGAUUCUUAUAUGGGUUGUGACCAAGAAUAUAGCUUUGCUCUUGAUAUCAGAGAAGCAGGCGCUAUUGAAGACGACAGUGGAAGAGAAUGACUAACAUGCUUAGAAGAUUGAACUCCUUUUCUUUUGUACCAUUUGUAAGUUUCCUACCGUGUUAUUCCUGUUAUUGCUAGACCAGGAAUAUGUUGGCAGGUGAUGCAUCAUUUGAGUUGACUCUUGUACUUAAAAUGGUUGAGAUCGUCUGAAAUUUGUUGCUGUCGAAGCCUAAUUUGUAGCCUUGCAUAUUUUCCCAUUUAUAUUAGCUCUUCAAUUUGUGAUGCUCAGCUUAGGGGUAAACAGAAAAGAACUGCAAUAUGCAACAGUUUGCAUUAUUGUUUUAGAUUUAGUCACUUGUGUUGCUCUUUUUCUGUGUCUCUCUUUUGCUUUGUGUUUCAACAACUGCUAUAGUUUUCCUGCCAUCCGAAAUGGGAAAAUUGUAGAUGACUCAGGUU